rnacentral:rRNA from 1 species
AGAGUUUGAUCCUGGCUCAGAUUGAACGCUGGUGGUAUGCUUAACACAUGCAAGUCGAACGGUAACAUUGGAGCUUGCUCCAGAUGACGAGUGGCGGACGGGUGAGUAACGCGUAGGAAUCUGCCUAGUAGUGGGGGACAACAUGUGGAAACGCAUGCUAAUACCGCAUACGCCCUACGGGGGAAAGCGGGGGAUCUUCGGACCUCGCGCUAUUAGAUGAGCCUGCGUUAGAUUAGCUUGUUGGUGGGGUAAUGGCCUACCAAGGCGACGAUCUAUAGCUGGUCUGAGAGGACGAUCAGCCACACUGGGACUGAGACACGGCCCAGACUCCUACGGGAGGCAGCAGUGGGGAAUAUUGGACAAUGGGCGCAAGCCUGAUCCAGCAAUACCACGUGUGUGAAGAAGGCCUGAGGGUUGUAAAGCACUUUCAAUUGGGAGGAAAACAGCUGGGUUAAUAGCCCUGCUCUUGACAUUACCUUUAGAAGAAGCACCGGCUAACUCCGUGCCAGCAGCCGCGGUAAUACGGAGGGUGCGAGCGUUAAUCGGAAUUACUGGGCGUAAAGCGUACGUAGGCGGUUAUUUAAGUCAGAUGUGAAAGCCCCGGGCUCAACCUGGGAACUGCAUUUGAAACUGGAUAACUAGAGUUUGAUAGAGGAGAGUAGAAUUUCUGGUGUAGCGG